GCUGUGUUUUAAGUUUUUUACAGGCUGGUGGAUAAUGAUUGAUGCAGCUGUGGUGUAUCCUAAGCCAGAACAGUUGAACCAUGCCUUUCACACAUGUGGUGUAUUUUCCACAUUGGCUUUCUUCAUGAUAAAUGCUGUAUCCAAUGCUCAGGUGAGAGGUGAUAGCUAUGAAAGCGGCUGUUUAGGAAGAACAGGUAAAGAUACUUUGAGCUGUUAAUGGGUGUUGACAAAACAGAAAUUUGUCACCAGAAAAAAAGCCUCUCUUGUGAGUCUUUAUUCAAGACUGGUAAUGAUUAUAUAGAAUAUUUUUUAUUUGCUUUAAAACAAAGUUUUAGUGUUAUUCAAAUCCUUAAGAAAGUAAGUUAUUGCUAGAAGUUACUGUUUUUGUCAUGUUACACUGCCCAUGAUAUAGAUAAAAAAUGUUGCUAUUCAAAUGGAUCUUGGACUCCAGUGCUAAUGAUGGAUUUAUUAUUAUCCCAAUUGUUGACCAAUAAUGUUACUUACAAGAUGGCUGACUA
rnacentral:lncRNA from 1 species